GAGCAGCAGUGUCUGUAGGUCUGUCAGUGACUGUAGAUACUGGGACCGGUUACCUAGUCUGUAGUUGCAGAACACACUCAACAUUUCUGUCAAUACGAAGGGUGAAAUAUACGAGAUUAGUGUACCGUUUUCUUGGCUUACUCUCCGUUCUAAAUCCAGCUCCUGUAUAUAAUAAACAUCAUUAUGAAGACGUACGUGAUUUAACAAAGCCCUCCUCAUACGUUUAGACAGAGACCAACCAGCCACAUAUUCAUUGUAACUUUCUUGGUCCACUAUGCUACACAUGAUAUAGGGCUGUGUGAGUCUUGAUUUAACCCGAGCUGUAACAUGAAGCGCCUCUGUAUAUCUAGAUGUUCUGUGGUAAUGCAGAGCAAGAUAGAACAAACAAGACACAUCACCCACUCUACCUGCCAGCUUCAACAAGUUACCAAUCAGUCUGUUUGUUAUGCAGAUUUUCUUAUUUGCACUUUUUGUUGAAUUAUUGAGGUACUUAAAUGUUACUUGAACUAAAACAUCAGCAGUACAUUUCUGCGAUGCCAACGCCUCAUAUACUGUAAGUGAUUGAUUUGACAAAAUUAUUAUGUACCUCAAAAUAAAAUAACUCUCCUGU
rnacentral:sRNA from 1 species